UAUUGCGCAAUGGGGGAAACCCUGACGCAGCAACGCCGCGUGGGUGAUGAAGGUCUUCGGAUUGUAAAGCCCUGUUUUCUGGGACGAUAAUGACGGUACCAGAGGAGGAAGCCACGGCUAACUACGUGCCAGCAGCCGCGGUAAUACGUAGGUGGCGAGCGUUGUCCGGAUUUACUGGGCGUAAAGGGUGCGUAGGCGGAUGUUUAAGUGGGAUGUGAAAUCCCCGGGCUUAACCUGGGGGCUGCAUUCCAAACUGGAUAUCUAGAGUGCAGGAGAGGAAAGCGGAAUUCCUAGUGUAGCGGUGAAAUGCGUAGAGAUUAGGAAGAACACCAGUGGCGAAGGCGGCUUUCUGGACUGUAACUGACGCUGAGGCACGAAAGCGUGGGUAGCAAACAGGAUUAGAUACCCUGGUAGUCCACGCCGUAAACGAUGGAUACUAGGUGUAGGGGGUAUCAACUCCCCCUGUGCCGCAGUUAACACAAUAAGUAUCCCGCCUGGGGAGUACGGUCGCAAGAUUAAAACUCAAAGGAAUUGACGGGGGCCCGCC
rnacentral:rRNA from 1 species